UCCCGUAGUUUCCAUUAGGACCCUGCUGCCACGGGAGGGAUGGACAAUAGAUGUCAUGCAAGUUCUUUUCCCUAAGCACGUAUGACUACAUACGGAAUACAUGCCUACAUUAGAUUGACGAACGGGGGCUAGCCACAUAUCUCUCCGUGUUAUAGCUGUUACAUGAUGAAUCACAUCCGUCACACUCAUCCAUCACCGAUCCACUGCCUAUGAGUCUUUUACUUCUGGUUCUCGCUACGUUACUUUGCCUAGGCUUGUCCCUUGCUACAAGA
rnacentral:lncRNA from 1 species